rnacentral:rRNA from 1 species
UGGGGGAUAUUGCACAAUGGGCGAAAGCCUGAUGCAGCGACGCCGCGUGGGGGAUGAAGGCCUUCGGGUUGUAAACUUCUUUUGCUCUGAACAAGGCAUGCUAAUGGGUGUGUUGAGUGUAGGGGUUGAUUAGCGCCGGCUAACUACGUGCCAGCAGCCGCGGUAAUACGCAGGGCGCGAGCGUUGUCCGGAAUUAUUGGGCGUAAAGGGCUUGUAGGUGGCUGGUUGCGUCUGUCGUGAAAGCUCAUGGCUUAACUGUGGGUUUGCGGUGGGUACGGGCUGGCUUGAGUGCAGUAGGGGAGGCUGGAAUUCCUGGUGUAGCGGUGGAAUGCGCAGAUAUCAGGAGGAAUACCGGUGGCGAAGGCGGGGCUCUGGGCUGUUACUGACACUGAGGAGCGAAAGCAUGGGGAGCGAACAGG